AUGUUUGGUGGCUAGUACUAUGGCUGGGACCCUAUAUGUCCUGUUGAUGAAGUUAGGUGCUGUUCUGAGCAUUAUUUGUAGCUAUAGAGUGGCAUUUGGUUGAGGUUUGUUUAUGGCUCCUCAGACCGCUGUGUAUUGCUAUCCCGCGGUCGUUACUGAAGUUGGUAUAACUAGAGAAGCAAGCGGUCAGCAACAUUCAUCUCUCGAGUGGGUGUCUAACUCGGUGUUACGGUGUGUUUGACCCUUACUUAAUUUCAGACGGGAUAUCCCUUUAAAGAUGAAUUUGAUACAUAAUAAAGCAGUGUCCUAAUAUCUUGUAAGUCCAUUUAAAGGACUUUGCUGCAGAGUAAUGAGGUUUUGUCUGUUCAUGUUGCGCCACUAAAGUCAAGGUCUUGUGGAGGUGUAUCAACACAGGUACAGCAAAGGGCAGUAAUUAGUGGAUGUAGGUGGAGAUGUAGAUGCUGGUGGAGCUGGUAAGCAUUUAUCUAAUUACCUUUACAGCAGAAAAUCCCCACAGUGGAAAAAAAAAAAAAGAAGUCGUUUCCUGAAAGACUUGCACACCUUUUCCCUCGUGUCCGGGCUCGGUGUAAUUACUGGAAAGUUCUCAACGCCUCAGUGCACAUUUGGCUCUGAGCGCUUUAUAAAAAAAGGCCGUGACAUGCUGAGAGCACUGUCAUAAUUAAUUAGCCAUCGGGGCUGAUAACACAGCUGAUUACCCCACUACACUGCCCACACACCCACACUGCUCUUCCUCCUUCAUACUGUUAAGUCUGCAACCAGGACAAGGUAGAAAAGCGGAUGAGUCUGACUUCACUUUCCUGCUAAACAUUUGUUAAUUUGAAGGACAGACCACCAAAGUCGUUUCUUUUCCUUUCCUCUCCUUUCCUCAUGUCUCCUCUCCUCUUAACUCCUUUCCUUUCCUUUCCUUUUUCUUCCUCUUGUCUCCUCUACACUCCUUUCCUCUUCUCUUCUCUCCCCUCCCCCUUCUCUCCUUUCCUCUUGUCUCCUUUCCUCUCCUCUCCUUUCCUCUUGUCUCCUCUCUUCUCCUCACCUUUCAUCUCCUCUCCUCUUCUCUCCUCUCAUUUCUUCUCCUCUCCUUUUCUUCCCCCUUGUCUCCUCUCCUCUCCUUUCCUCUCGUUUCUUCUCCUCUACUUUCCUCUGGUCUCCUCUCCUCCCCUCUCCUCUCCUUUCCUCUUGUCUCCCCUCCUCUUUUCUCCUUUUUUCUUGUCUCCUCCUCUUUUCUCCUUUCCUCUCGUCUCCUCUCCUUUUCUCCCAUCCUGUCUCCUCUCCUCUCCUCCCCUCUCCUCUUCUUUCCUCUUGUCUCAUCUCCUCUUUUCUCCUUUCCUCUCGUCUCCUCUCCUUUUCUCUCGUCUUGUCUCCUCUCAUCUUCUUUGCUCUCCUCUCCUUUCUUCUCCUUUCUGUCCACUUUUCACUCCCUUGCCAUCCUUGUAUCCUUACUUUUCUUUUUCUUCUCUCAUCUCCUCCACUUCCUCUUUUUUAAAGUUUAAACUUUGUCCUCUCUCUUUUCUUUCUCUCCCUGUUUACUAACACCUUUAGUUGGAGGACAGAGCACCAAAAUCAGGAUAUAAAUCAGUGUUUUAUCUUCAUCUGUAAAAUAAAUAUACUGCAGGAUUUAGCUGUUUCUGUAUUUCUGUUUAGUCCUGAUAAAACUCUGUUGGAACCCAGCCCUGUUAGCGUCCUUGGAUUAAAUGUUCACCUGUAAAAUUAAAUGUUCCUGCUCUUUUAUAGGGGCGGACACGGUGAAGUUUAAGAAGGAAAUCCUGCUCACAAACUCGUCAUCAACAGGAAACCUCCCCGACAUGUUUCCUUUUAUUUUACCGAGGCUGUUUAGGGGGGAGAUGAGUCAUUUCCCCUCUGUCACCCACUUCAUGACGCUUUUAUUUUGAAGUUCACCCACUUCCCCUCCCUGCUCUCUCUCUCUUUCUCUCUCUCCUUUCUCCUUUUUCUCUUUUUCUGCCAAAUCAUCACAGAUACCUUCCUCUUCUCCUUCCUCCCCAUCUUAUCGUUCAUCUCUUUUGCCUUUUUUUGCUCUCUUCAUCUCCAUUUCUUCUCUUUUUUCUGUUUUCAUAUCUCUCCCUCUUCUAUGCAGUAUUUAUUUCUCUAAGCCUCCAUUAUCUCCUCUUCUCCUCUUUCUCUAUUUCUUCCUUUUUCACUCUUAUCUUCUUGUUUUCUUCUCUUCUCAUCCUUGUGUUUCCUUUACAUCCUCCUUCUUCUUAUUUUCUCCUUCCUGUUUUUCUUCUUUACUUUCCUCUCCUAGUUUCAAGCACCUUUAUCCUCUCUCUCUCUCUCUCUUUCUUUUCACUACCUUCACCACUUACGUCCUCCUCCACUGACCUCCUUCCCUCCUUUUAUUUUUUAUAGUUUUCUCUCCGCCUAUAUCUUCCUCUCCAAUCCCCUUUUUCUUAACUCUUUUCCUCGUCUCUUUUGUCCUCUAUCUUUUUUCAUCUCCUCUCAUUCCUUUUAUUUCCUUGGAUUUUAUCCUCUUCUAUCGUUACUUCCUUCCUUGCUUUUCCCUGUUUCCUAGUUCUUCUGACCUUUCUCCAUCUUUUACUCUCUGUAUUCUUCUUGAACCUUGACUUUAUUUGUUCUCCUUUUGUCCUUCUUUAGUUUUCUCUUCUUUUCUUUCUUUUCUUUAUUCAUGUUACUUGAUCAGUUCUCUGUUUUGUUUUGUUUCCUCUCCUCUCUCUUUUUCUCUUCUCUUCUUCCCUCAAUCAUUCAUUUCCUUAAGUGUCUAUCUUUUUUCCUUAACUAUCCAUCUCCUCCUCUACUUGACCUCCCCCCUUUUUCCUUGCUUAAGUGUCCUCUCCUCCCUCCUCAAGUAUUCUCAUUUCUUCUGUUCCUACAGCGUCCUAUCGUCUCCUCUCCUCUCCUUUGAUCUCCUAUCUUCUCAUCUUCUUUCCUUUCCUCUUCACUCUUCUUGUUUCAUCUCCUCUCCUCAUUUCAUCUUCUCUUGUCUCCUCUCCUCUCCUGUUGCCUCGUCUCCUCUCAUAUCUUCUCGUAUCUUCUCAUCUCUCCUCAUCUCCUCUCAUUCUCUCAUUUCCUCCUAUCUCUUCUCUACUUCUCUCUUCCCAUCUCCUUUCCUUUCCUCUCCUCUGGUUUCAUCUUCUCUCCUCUCCUUUCCUUUUAUCUCCUCUCCUCUCCUCUCUUCUUUUCUCCUCUCCUCUCAUUUCUUCUCCUGUCCUCUCAUCUCCUCUUGUCUCCUCUCCUCUCAUUUCUUCUCCUCUCCUUUCCUCUUAUCUCCUCUCCUCUCAUUUCUUCUCCUCUCCUCUCCUUUCCUCUUGUCUCCUCUCCUCUUCUUUCCUCUCCUCCCCUUUCCUCUCCUCUCCUUUCCUUUUGUCUCCUCUCCUCUCAUUUCUUCUCCUGUCCUCUUCUCUCUUCUUAUCUCCUCUCCUCUCCUUUCCUCUCCUCUCAUUUCUUCUCCUCUCCUUUCCUCUCGUCUCCUCUCCCUUUCCCAUGUCUCGUCUCCUCUCUUCUCCUUUUCUCUCCUUUUCUUUGCUUUCCUCUCUGUCCUUAUUUCACUCCUUUGCCAUCCUUGUUUCCUUACUUUCCCUCCCCCUCAUCUCCUCCUCUACUUCCUCUUAAAGUUUAACCUUUUUUUCUUUUCUUCCUCUUCUUUUACUCUCUUUUUUCUUCCCCUCCUUGUUUUCUAAUACCUUUAGUUGUUUUGUCUCUUUUUUCUCGUUAAUCCCUCCUCUCCUUGUGUUUCUCCUCUUCCUCUCUUUCCUCGUCUCAUCGCUGUAAAUCCGUUAAUAUGAUUCUUCCACUUUGUAGUCUUCCUCUCUCCUCCCUCCUUGUCCUGCUCUCUCCUCUCUGGGUAUAUGUGUCCUCUCUCUCUCUCUCCCUCCCUUCCUCCCUCUGCACCUUAAUCCCUGUUUGGUAAUGAAUGUAUAUGACUGAAUGGACGUAUAUUGAUGUAAGCCUCUUAAUCCCAUAUUACCUCGGGCUGAUCUUUGCCAUUUCAUGAUUCGCCGUCUAAAAACAAGAGACGCAGCCGAGAGUUCAAUCCACAUUAGCAGCCUCUGAUGUGGAAAUGCAACGCCUAUAGGGAUUUUUCCCACAAUGCACUUGGGAUAUUAUCGCAUACGUUUGACAAAGAGCGUUUUUGUAAUGACAAUAAGGGCUGGAAAAACGCCGCUGUUUGUCGGCGUUGGUUAAAAUCAUGAUUGACAUGAAUGCUUUUAACCUUUUCUGCGGUCAACGAUUGUGUUGCAGAGUAUCAGGACGUAUGCAGCCUCCCACUCGACUGCCAUAAAUAAUGCUGCUGCAGGAGCUGUGAGCCCACACACGCAGCUUCGGAUGCACAUAUACAAAUGUGUCUCUCUGUGUGUGUCUUUUAGUGUGUGUGUGUGGCUCCCCAUGGCUUCUCUGUUGACAUACACAUGCAUGAAACACGUCAACUAGAUUACCGCUCCUCCGCAGACCGACACGCUAAUGGCACAUGUUGUUUUUAAACCUCCUCUAUAGCUGCGUCUGCGUUUAAAUAUAACCUUUUUGUCUUU